rnacentral:lncRNA from 1 species
CAGAGAGGAAGCGUUUGCUCAACCCAAUCAACCGAGCCUCCUGGAGUUAGACUGGCUUGGCCGACUUGAUGCCGCCCUGCUGAAUGCCCUAAAGGGAGAAGAACCAGGGUUUAUGGAGGACCCGAUGCCUUUUGAAACUGUCUCGUUUGAGAUGCACACAUUUGUAACUCAGCAUUGCCAUCCGAGAGGAACGAUUGAGACAACAAAGCCCCGGAGAACAAAGAAGUCAGCAUUUGGCAACAGAUAAAGCGGCAGAAGUGAAGCGUCACCCUUGCUGUGUUUGAGUCCUGAACUUCAGUUUCCCCCCAGGCUCCUGGGUAGGCUACAGAUUUGCAGGUCCUCACAUUGCACAGGAGGAAGCCCCUGAACACAAGGCAACGGGGCCUCGGAGAUGGGGAAGUUUAUCCUUCUAGCUGAGUCUCCGAAUCUCAUCUGACUCUGUGAAUAAUGGCUCCAAAAUGGGGCCAUGAUUGUUGAGUGUAAUUUGCCUUUGGGCGAUACUACAUAAAGACACUUCUGCCCUAUUUUUUAAAUUAACACCUCUCCUUGGCAAUCUGCUCCAGAAUGGAGGGCUUUUAUGGACACCCUAGAUUUGAGACUCAAUCACGUUCCUAGAGGGUGCCCUAUUCCUGUAAUAGUAGACAUGAAGACAGAACUUAAAUCUCACCCCAUAUUUCUCUUUUAUGAAAUAAACAGCCUUCGUUCCUUUAGAUUUCCCAG